rnacentral:lncRNA from 1 species
GGUAACUCCUAUGGCAUAUCUUUGACUAUGCUUCAUUUCCUUUGGCUUCCAUCUAUGCCUAGUCUAUUAUCCUUCAAAUGGAGGAGUUCACAGAUUUCCCAGGCCUUUUUCUGAAAAUGUGGACACUGACAGAGAACACAUGAAAUGCCCAAAAUUGGAAUGGAGCACUAAUGGGGGGUUUUGGAGGACUUGGAAAAUCAAGAACCUACAGCUUCCAUUUAGUUUCCUCUCUCAAUGGAAGUAGCUUCUCCCUUGUCUCAAAUAAUUACCCCUGCCUUUCCCGAGGACCCUGCAACUCUCUAGUCUGUAGAAGUUAAUUU